rnacentral:rRNA from 1 species
CACCGCGGUUAUACGAGUGGCCCAAGUUGAUACUUAUCGGCGUAAAGAGUGGUUAGGGAACAUAUAAACUAAAGCCGAACCCCUUCAAAGCUGUUGCACGCACUCGGAGGGCAGAAGCCCAACUACGAAGGUGACUUUACAAUCCCUGACCCCACGAAAGCCAAGACA